rnacentral:misc_RNA from 1 species
GGAAGGAUCAUUCUUGAAAGCAAGUGUGCUAACGUCAUGUGAAUCUCUACAUGGCUGUGAGUUGCUCACAUCAAGGCCAUGGUUCGCUGUUUACAGCGAUAGUCUUUGUUCUUAUUUCUUUAAGUCAAUCAAACUCUUAGCGAUGGAUGUCUUGGGUCCUGCUUCGAUGAAGACUGCAGCAAAGUGCAUAAAGCAAUAUGACACGCAGACUUCAAAGAAUCAUUAGAUUGUCGAACGCACAUGGCGCCCCUUCUCUUCGGAGUUCGGGCAUGUUCGGUUCAGUGUCACAUAGUCCUAUACAUUGCUCCUUCACGGGCUGCAUUGUGUGAUUGGUUGACAUACUAACACUAUGCCAACUUAAGUUAUACUAUGGGUCUAUGCCUGUCUAUAUGAAAUCUAAGUAUAGCUCCGGUAUCCUCUCCAUAGUAGUUAUAACACUCUGACCUGAUCUCGAGCAAGGCAACCCGCUGAAUUUAAGCAUAUUAAUAGGCGGAGGAAAAGAAACUAACUAGGAUUCCCUUAGUAAUGGCGAAUGAACAGGGAAAAGCUCAAACUGAAAAUCAACAGCUCCACAGGUUGUUGAAUUGUAGUCUUUUGAGACAACGCUGGGAAGACUCUGAGGGAUUAGUCCUUUGGAAGAAGGCGCUUACAUGGGUGAAAGCCCCAUAGCUCCCUCAUGCAGUCCUCCAAUCAGCCUGUCUUCGUUGAGUCGCGUUCUUUGUGAUUGGAGCGCUAUGUGGGUGAUAAGUUUCAUCCAAAGCUAAAUAUGAGCAGGAUGCCGAUAGCAAACAAGUACCGUGAGGGAAAGAUGAAAAGGACUUUGGAAAGAGAGUUAAAAGUGCCUGAAAUCGCUAAGAGGGAAGCAGUCAAAAGAGCUGCCUUCUCAGAUCUGUUCUCUUGGAGUUCAGAUUCGUUUGUGGGGAUCGUUGGUUCAAAGGGCUAUUCUUGAUACGGUAUGAUGUAAUCUUUUUCUUGCAGAAAGAGCAUUCAUUAUACUUUAAGAGUAUAGUUCCUUUGUCGAGCGGUUAUGGCUGUUUUGGCUGGCCCGUCUUGAAACACGGACCAAGGAGUUUAAUAUAUAUGCGAGUAUAACGGUGGAAAGCCGGGAUGCGAAAUGAAAGUAAAGGUCAGGAAACCUUACGGUGGCACUGACAACCGACCGGAUCCUUGUGUGAAUGGUUUGAGUUCGAGCAUAUAUGUUAAGACCCGAAAGAUGGUGAACUAUGCUUGAGUUGGGUGAAGCCAGGGGAAACUCUGGUGGAGGCUCGUAGCGAUACUGACGUGCAAAUCGUUCGUCAAACUUGAGUAUAGGGGCGAAAGACUAAUCGAACCAUCUAGUAGCUGGUUCCCUC